rnacentral:rRNA from 1 species
UACAGAGGGUGCAAGCGUUAAUCGGAUUUACUGGGCGUAAAGCGUGCGUAGGCGGUUCAUUAAGUCGGUUGUGAAAUCCCUGGGCUUAACCUGGGAACUGCAGUCGAUACUGAUGAACUAGAGUGCGGUAGAGGGUGGCGGAACUCCGGGUGUAGCGGUGAAAUGCGUAGAUAUCCGGAAGAACACCGAUGGCGAAGGCAACCACCUGGGCCUGCACUGACGCUGAGGUACGAAAGCGUGGGGAGCAAACAGG